rnacentral:rRNA from 1 species
UACGUAGGGUGCGAGCGUUAAUCGGAAUUACUGGGCGUAAAGCGUGCGCAGGCGGUUCGUAAAGUCUGAUGUGAAAGCCCCGGGCUCAACCUGGGAACUGCAUUGGAAACUAGCGAGCUCGAGUGUGGCAGAGGGGGGUGGAAUUCCACGUGUAGCAGUGAAAUGCGUAGAGAUGUGGAGGAACACCGAUGGCGAAGGCAGCCCCCUGGGCUAACACUGACGCUCAGGCACGAAAGCGUGGGGAGCAAACAGG